CAAACAGCCCUUGUCAGGGCCACUAACAUACAAAAAAACAAAAAG
rfam:Solenopsis invicta Si_gnG.contig23329, whole genome shotgun sequence.